AUCAAUUGAGUAAUUUCGAGUCUUAAAAAUAGAAGGCUGUGCUUGGUGGCUUCAGUUUUGUUGGUUGGUUUGGUGUAUCUGUGCAAACUUGCGUAAUUUACAAAGUUGGACAGUUUAAUACCACCUUUGCUAAAAGAACAUACACAUUAAAAUUUGGCGCCGUUCCUCGUCCAAUCGUCGGCCGGCCCGUCCCCCACGUGACCUGCGUCUUGUUAUAUAAGUGGUAGACUCCCACCAUUUCGUCCUCUUUUCCACCAAAAGUUUUAAAGGUUGUGUCAGUGUUCGACCAAGGUUCAGAAAAUGCCGGAAACGUCGCUCACCAACGGAUAUACCAACGGCCACAACAACAUGUUUGAAAUGGAAGACGGCUCCAAUUUCCUCUUCACCUCCGAGUCGGUGGGAGAAGGACAUCCAGACAAAAUGUGCGACCAAAUCAGUGAUGCUAUUCUUGACGCCCACCUCCAGCAAGAUCCUGACGCAAAAGUGGCUUGCGAAACUGUGACAAAAACCGGAAUGAUUCUCCUCUGCGGCGAAAUCACAUCAAAGGCCGUGGUGGAUUACCAGAAAGUUGUCCGAGAGACAGUUGCACACAUUGGUUAUGACGAUUCCAGUAAAGGAUUGGACUGGCGUACGCUGAACCUUCUGGUGGCAAUUGAACAGCAGUCCCCAAACAUAGCACAGGGUGUUUACGAGAACCGUCAAGAGCCCGAUAUCGGUGCUGGUGAUCAGGUUUUGAUUACAAGACGUGCAAUGUGUUGUUGGCUCUCGAUCAGCAGUCCCCAAACAUUGCUGCCGGCGUGCACGAAAAUCGAAACGAGGAGGAAGUUGGCGCUGGUGACCAGGGCUUGAUGUUCGGCUACGCCACUGACGAGACGGAAGAGUGUAUGCCACUGACGGUGGUACUAGCCCAUAGACUUAACCACCAAAUCGCUGAAUUGCGCCGAAAUGGUCAAUUCUGGUGGGCAAGACCCGACUCAAAAACGCAAGUCACCUGCGAAUAUACCUUCGACCAUGGCGCAUGUAUUCCGCAAAGGGUGCACACGGUCGUGGUUUCGGUGCAACAUAGCGAAAAAAUCACGUUGGAAGAGUUGAGAGAAGAGAUUUUGAAUAAAGUUAUAAAGACUGUGAUUCCCCCACAAUAUCUCGACGACCAAACUAUCGUACACAUCAACCCGUGCGGACUCUUCAUCAUCGGGGGACCCCAGAGCGAUGCCGGUUUAACCGGUCGCAAAAUCAUCGUCGAUACGUAUGGAGGCUGGGGGGCGCAUGGAGGUGGCGCUUUUUCGGGUAAAGAUUUCACAAAAGUGGAUCGUUCAGCAGCGUAUGCUGCUCGUUGGGUGGCCAAAUCGCUCGUUAAAGCCGGACUUUGCCGAAGAUGUUUGGUGCAGGUGGCGUAUGCUAUCGGCGUAGCUGAACCUUUGUCAAUCACUGUUUUCGACUAUGGAACCUCGAAGCUUUCACAGAAGGAACUGCUUGCCGUCGUGAGGAGGAACUUCGAUCUACGGCCGGGGAAAAUCGUCAAGGAGUUGAACCUUCGCCAGCCCAUCUACCAGCGUACCAGCACCUAUGGGCACUUCGGUCGCGAUGGGUUCAGUUGGGAGAAGCCCAAGGUUCUUCGUCUCGAUUGACCUUCCCCCCUCAGUUAAUUUCCUUCCUUGCCCCUUCGUCCCUCGUCUUCUCUGUCGUAGCUCUCCUUAAUUAAAACAUGUCGUUCGAGCGGGUGCUAUUGGACGUGGUACCGGCCUGUACAGAUCACAGUAGUUACCAUCAUUUUUUUCGAGUUGGUACUACUGCAACUCUGUGUAGAGUGAAAGGUUCUGUUCCCGCUAGACUUGUUUUCACUCGACACCUUGUGUUGUGUUUACGAAAAAGAAUCUAUUUGGAAAAGAGCAUUUGCGAAAACACUCCGAUCUGUGCAAGUCCGGUUCUCGGGUGUGAUUGGUUAAAUAAAACAAAUGACACAUGAUUUCGGCAUUUAUCAAGCUGCCACUAAAAUUCUGUUCUCUUUUAUAGUGUUCUUAUUGUUAUAAUGACUUAUACUGACCAUAGGUGUAGAUCUGUAGUGAUAGGAUACUGUAUAGAUUUUAAACGUGAAUAUUUAAAUUAUUUAUAUGGCGUGUAAUAUGAAAAGUCAGUCGAUGGUGUACUUUAUUUAAGUGCUAUUUCAAGGAGCUUUCGUCAUUAUUUUAAACAAUAAAGUGAUUAUUAGGAA